UACGGAGGGAGCUAGCGUUGUUCGGAAUCACUGGGCAUAAAGGGCGCGUAGGCGGGCUUCUAAGUCUGUGGUGAAAUACUCUAGCUCAACUAGAGAACUGCCUCGGAUACUGAAAGUCUCGAGCAAGAUAGGGGCAUGCGGAACGGAUGGUGGAGCGGUGAAAUGCGUUGAUAUCAUUCGGAACUCCGGUGGCGAAGGCGGCAGGCUAGGGCGCAACUGACGCUGAGGCACGAAAGUGCGGGGAUCAAACAGG
rnacentral:rRNA from 1 species